AGACCAUAAUAAUAUUAAGCAAGCUUUAAUCAAAUUCAAAGAAAUCUUAAAGAAAUAUUAUAAUGAUCACAAAUAUAUCUCAAAUAUAUCUCCAUUCAAUCUUAAUUUAAUCCUAGUUAAAAUACUAUUGGACUUCAUUCAAAUUUUAGACCAAAAAUAAUUAAAUCUUAAAUCCUAAAUAAAUCCUAAUAAAAUCCUAAAUCCUAAAUCAAAUCCUAAUUAAACCUUAAACUCUAAAUCAAACUCUAAACCUUAAAACAAAUCCUAAAUCCUAAACCAAAUCCUAACCAAACCCUAAAUCAAAUCCAAACCAAACUCUAAACCUUAAACCAAAUCCUAACCAAAUUCUAAGUCUUAAACCAAAUCCUAAAUUCUAAACCAAAUCCUAAAUAAACCCUAAAUUAAAUCCUAAACUAAAUCCUAAAUCCUAACUAAAUCCUAAAUCAAAUCCUAAAUCCUAAAUAAAAUCCUAACCAAAGUCUAAAUCCUAAACCAAAUCCUAACCAAAUUCUAAACCAAAUCUUAAAUCAAACUCCAAUUCUAAACCAAAUCUUAAAUCAAACUCCAACCAAAUCCUAAAUCAAAUCCUAACCAAACUCUAAACCCUAAACCAAAUCCUAAUCAAACCCUAGUAAUUUUCACAACAGAUUAAAACCUCAAUAAUUAAUGAAUGAACCAUUGAUCUUAAUUAAAAUUUUGCACACUUCUUAAAAACUAAGUUGAAAACAAUCACAAAAUUUUGAAAAGGAUCGGAAUUACCAAAUAGACGAUAACCUCAAAAACGUGCUCGGGUAUUGGUCAGCUUCCUUCUCCAACCUUGAUGCCAAUCUUCCAAAGCCAAUAUCUCUCCUUUUCACCAUUCGAUUGAUUUUAAAAUUCUCAUAAACAUAGAAAAACAAGUCUGAUAUUCUCUCACACAAAUUUCACUCUGAUCCAACUAGUAGAUUGCAAGAAAUCUUAAAAACCCUCACUAGACCUAAAAUUCUACUUUCUGAGACCUUGACUCACUUAAACCUCAACAACCCUCAAUUCAACUAUUAGAUCACGCUCAAAUUUACAACACAUAUUGAAUACAAAUAUAACCAUUAAUCCACAAAAUUUCACCUAUAGGUCUGUUACAAAACUCUUGAAAUCACUCAAA
rnacentral:lncRNA from 1 species